UAUCUUAUACAUUCAAUUUUGUAAUACAAUUUAACUAUCUAUUUCAUAAAAAACUCGAUUUUAAUUCUACACACUUCAUCUUACUUGAUAAUGAUUUCAUGUCAAAAUAAUAUAUAUAUAUAUAUAUAUAUGAGAUCAAAUCUAUAUCUUAGUUAAUAU
rnacentral:sRNA from 1 species